AUUUUGCACAAGGGGUUCUUUCAUUAGUAUCGACAUUAUUGAUUGUGGUCGCUAUUCGGUGCAGAAACUGACACAUCGCCGAUGACAUUUGGUCAUGAAAUCAAAGCUAAAUUUUGCACUGAUUGCUAAGACAGUGUAAAAAUCUUCUGGAAGUUGUAUUAAUGGCUUCGAACGUUUGAUAAUGGCAACGGAUCUUGCUCCGUAUGCCCAGAUUCACAUUAAUGAUGGAAAACACCCAAGAAUAGAGCUGUCCCAAGAAUAGAAAUUCUAGCUUGGCGUAAAGUAGACGACUGAAACCAGUUACAACAAUUUUUCCCGUCAUGUUUUGGGGGAAAAUUGACUUGAUCAAAGGUCGGCAAUUUUUAAUAUCCCAAAAAUCAAACAAAAAAUUUCUCAAAAUUCUUAGGAGUGAGAUUUCUGGAGAUUUCUCUUUCCAUUUUAAUGUCUAGUUGCAUUUGAUAAUUUCUAUAAAAAAAAUGUAUGGCAAUAAUCCUA
rnacentral:sRNA from 1 species